GACGAACGCUGGCGGCGUGCUUAACACAUGCAAGUCGAACGGAAAGGCCCUGCUUUUGUGGGGUGCUCGAGUGGCGAACGGGUGAGUAACACGUGAGUAACCUUCCCUUGACUUUGGGAUAACUUCAGGAAACUGGGGCUAAUACCGGAUAGGAGCUCCUGCUGCAUGGUGUGGGUUGGAAAGUUUCGGCGGUUGGGGAUGGACUCGCGGCUUAUCAGCUUGUUGGUGGGGUAGUUGCUUACCAAGGCUUUGACGGGUAGCCGGCCUGAGAGGGUGACCGGCCACAUUGGGACUGAGGUACGGGCCAGACGGCAACGGGGGGCAGCGGUGGGAAAUAUUGCACAAUGGGCGGCAGCCUGAUGCAGCAACGCCGCGUGCGGGAUGACUGCCUUCGGGUUGGAAACCGCUUUAGCCUGUGACGAAGCGUGAGUGACGGUAAUGGGUAAAGAAGCACCGGCUAACUACGUG
rnacentral:rRNA from 1 species